AGUCGAACGGGAUUCAGGAACUUCGGUUUUGAUGAGAGUGGCGCACGGGUGCGUAACGCGUAUGCAACCUACCUAUUACAGGGGGAUAGCCCGGGGAAACCCGGAUUAAUACCCCAUGGUAUAUUGAUUUCGCAUGGGAUUAAUAUUAAAGAUUUAUCGGUAAUAGAUGGGCAUGCGUAGGAUUAGCUAGUUGGUAAGGUAACGGCUUACCAAGGCUACGAUCCUUAGGGGUUCUGAGAGGAAGGUCCCCCACACUGGUACUGAGAUACGGACCAGACUCCUACGGGAGGCAGCAGUAGGGAAUAUUGGGCAAUGGACGAGAGUCUGACCCAGCCAUGCCGCGUGCAGGAAGACGGCGUUAUGCGUUGUAAACUGCUUUUAUACGGGAAGAAAAGGCCCAUGCGUGGGACAUUGCCGGUACCGUAUGAAUAAGCACCGGCUAACUCCGUGCCAGCAGCCGCGGUAAUACGGAGGGUGCAAGCGUUGUCCGGAUUUAUUGGGUUUAAAGGGUGCGUAGGCGGGAAUUUAAGUCAGCGGUGAAAGUUCAGGGCUCAACCCUGAAAUUGCCAUUGAUACUGGAUUUCUUGAGUGUCGAUGGGGUACAUGGAAUUUAUGGUGUAGCGGUGAAAUGCAUAGAUACCAUAAGGAACACCGAUAGCGAAGGCAUUGUACUUAUCGAUAACUGACGCUGAGGCACGAAAGCGUGGGUAGCGAACAGGAUUAGAU
rnacentral:rRNA from 2 species